rnacentral:rRNA from 1 species
GAUGAACGCUAGCGGGAGGCCUAACACAUGCAAGCCGAGCGGUAUUGUUUCUUCGGAAAUGAGAGAGCGGCGUACGGGUGCGUAACACGUGUGCAACCUGCCUUUAUCUGGGGGAUAGCCUUUCGAAAGGAAGAUUAAUACUCCAUAAUAUAUUGAACGGCAUCGUUUAAUAUUGAAAGCUCCGGCGGAUAGAGAUGGGCACGCGCAAGAUUAGCUAGUUGGUGAGGUAACGGCCCACCAAGGCGAUGAUCUUUAGGGGGCCUGAGAGGGUGAUCCCCCACACUGGUACUGAGACACGGACCAGACUCCUACGGGAGGCAGCAGUGAGGAAUAUUGGUCAAUGGGUGCAAGCCUGAACCAGCCAUCCCGCGUGAAGGACGACUGCCCUAUGGGUUGUAAACUUCUUUUGUAUAGGGAUAAACCUACCCUCGAGAGGGUAGCUGAAGGUACUAUACGAAUAAGCACCGGCUAACUCCGUG